rnacentral:misc_RNA from 1 species
GAUGAAGAACGCAGCGAAAUGCGAUAAGUAGUGUGAAUUGCAGAAUUCAGUGAAUCAUCGAAUCUUUGAACGCACAUUGCGCCCCUUGGUAUUCCAUGGGGCAUGCCUGUUCGAGCGUCAUUUGUACCUUCAAGCUCUGCUUGGUGUUGGGUGUUUGUCUCGCCUUUGCGUGUAGACUCGCCUUAAAACCAUUGGCAGCCGGCGUAUUGAUUUCGGAGCGCAGUACAUCUCGCGCUUUGCACUCAGAACGACGACGUCCAAAAGUACAUUUUUACUCUCUUGACCUCGGAUCAGGUAGGGAUACCCGCUGAACUUAAGCAUAUCAAUAAGCGGAGGA